CAUAGAAUUGAGCUAGGAUGAAGUUCACACUUCACAAGUUUUGUGGGCAAAAUGUCUGCAUUUGGCAAUGACCACAUGGCUCUGCCACAGCCAAGUUCGAGGACCGCGACUGCAAUGUGCCGCAGCCGCAAGAGCUGCACCUGCUGGUGGCGCAGUCAUACCCGAUACGUGACUACCUGGCCAUCGAGGCCAUUCUACUGGAGUUCUUCGGCUGGAACGUGUCGCUUGUGACGGUGGCGCACUUCGUCGAGUUCCUGGCGACGCGCGUGCUGAGCCACGGCGACAUGGUGCUGGGCGCGCUGCAUGAGGGG